GGAGAUGUGGGUGAGUGGCUGAAACCACCGGUUUGCUAAACCGACGUACCUUCACCGGUACCGCGGGUUCGAAUCCCGCCGUCUCCGCCA
rnacentral:tRNA from 1 species